UACGAGGGAUCCUAGCGUUGUUCGGAAUCAUUGGGCGUAAAGGGUGUGUAGGCGGCCAAGUAAGUCAGUUGUGAAAGCCCCGGGCUCAACCCGGGAAGUGCUUCUGAUACUGCUUGGCUUGAGUAUUGGAGAGGUGAGCGGAAUUCCAGGUGCAGUGGUGAAAUACGUAGAUAUCUGGAGGAACACCGGCGGCGAAGGCGGCUCACUGGCCAUAUACUGACGCUGAAACACGAAAGCGUGGGUAGCAAACAGG
rnacentral:rRNA from 1 species